rnacentral:lncRNA from 1 species
GAAAGUAGCAAAGUUCUGAUCUUUAAUUAGAGUUUGCAGUAUACAGUUAUCUUUCUGUAAUCUGUGGUAACAAAUCUCCAUGUAAACACUCAGGAAGAGAAAAAACAGAGGAUACCAUGUCAUGACUUACAAACUAUGAAUUCUGAACUUGGAUUACUAAUUAUUCACAGCUGUUUUAUACAUUUAUUAACAAACUGUCUUCCUUCAUUUAACAAUGGCUCUUGAAUAACAAAAUAAAUUAUCAGUAAAUUCAACCAUACAACAGACAAUAACUGGGGUUAUUAGAUGUGAGAUGUAGUAAAAUAAAAGGUCAUGACCACUCAGAAGAUCACAUAAAUCUAAAACAUACUGUCGACUUUCUAGUCUCAACCUGUAGCUCUCAUUUAUUAAAUAAUUUACAAAGAGCUGUUGAUGAUUUAAUGAGCAGGUUGAACUUUGUCAUUCUGCCAUUUUGCUAGUCACGAACACAUGUGUUUUGCCUUUAAAAUGA